AGCGCAGUCCGGUAGCGCACCUGGUUUGGGACCAGGUGGUCGCAGGUUCGAAUCCUGUC
rnacentral:tRNA from 1 species